ACCACCCCCACCAGAUCAUAGCCAUGCUCAGAGCCCUGCACCACCCCCACCAGAUCAUAGCCAGGUUCAGAGCCCUGCACCACCCCCACCAGAUCCUAGCCAGGCUCAUAGCCCUACAUCACCCCCACCAGAUCAUAGCCAGGCUCAUAGCCCUGCACCACCCCCACCAGAUCAUAGCCAGGUUCAUAGCCCUGCACCACCCCCACCAGAUCAUAGCCAGGCUCCGAGCCCUGCACCACCCCCACCAGAUCAUGGCCAGGCUCCGAGCCCUGCACCACCCCCACCAGAUCACAGCCAGGCUCAGAGCCCUACACCACUCCCACCAGAUCACAGCCAGGCUCAGAGCCCUACACCACUCCCACCAGAUCACAGCCAGGCUCAGAGCCCUACACCACUCCCACCAGAUCACAGCCAGGCUCAGAGCCCUACACCACUCCCACCAGAUCAUAACCAGGCUCAGAGCCCUACACCACUCCCACCAGAUCAUAACCAGGCUCAGAGCCCUACACCACUCCCACCAG
ensembl:lncRNA